rnacentral:misc_RNA from 1 species
GUGAAUCAUCAAAUUUUUGAACGCAAAUUGCACUUUCUAGUAUUCCUAAAAGUAUGUGUGUUUUAGGGUCAGAUAAAUAAAAAUCGGUGUUGUUGCUGCCUUUCGUUGUGCCGCGUCUGAAUGAUGUCGUCUUACCUUCGGUUAAGUGACUUAAAAUUUUUGCAUGAUUUUCGAACGUAUUUAAGUUGCUUACGUACUUUUGAGAUAUCUAAUACUUUAUUAGGUUCUAUCAUCCUCAUGAUUCGCUCCUAUAAUUUUUUCAUUAAUUGACCUCAAAUCAGAUAAUAAUACCCGAUGAU